rnacentral:rRNA from 1 species
UACGAAGGGGGCGAGCGUUGUUCGGAAUCACUGGGCGUAAAGGGCGCGUAGGCGGCCCUCUUAGUCGCGUGUGAAAGCCCCGGGCUCAACCUGGGAACGGCGCGCGAAACGGGAGGGCUGGAGUUCGGGAGAGGAGAGUGGAAUUCCCAGUGUAGAGGUGAAAUGCGUAGAUAUCAGGAGGAACACCUGUGGCGAAAGCGGCGCACUGGACCACAACUGACGCUGAGGCGCGAAAGCUAGGGGAGCAAACAGG